AUACAGGUUGUUGCUAAAUUGCUGAGGGUCCUGCUAGAUUGCUGAGGCUGGCCUUGAACUUGUGAUCCUCCUGUCAGUCUCCCAGUCCCUGGUAUUACAGGUGUGCAUAACUGCACCUGGCUUAUGUACAACAUGUUCUAUAUGUACUCAUCCACUGAUAGACACCUGGGUUGAUUCCAUACUUAGUUAUCAUGGAUAGUACUGCAAUAAACACGCCAAUGCAGAUGUCUCCUCAGCUUACUGAUGUAUUUCCUUUGUAUAUAUUCCCACUAGUGGGACUGCUGGAUCAUAUGGUAAUUAUCUUGAUUGUAUCUAUAAGGAUGUUUCUGGAUUAGAGCAACAUUUGAAUCUAUAGACUGAUUGAAGCAGUUUUUAUCCCACCUAAUUAUUUGAAGGCUUCAAUAAAACAAAAAGACCAAUUAUUCUUGAGAGUCAGAGGUAAGUUCUCCAGUUUGACUUCCUUGAGCUGGGGCAUUGGUUUUCUCCUCCAUUUAGACUGUAACUUUCACCAUAACUCUCCUGGUUCUCAGCCCUCCAGAAUUUGUAUGGAACUUACAACAUAGGCUGUUUUGGUUCUCAGGCCUCUGUUUCUUUCAUACUGGAACUCUACCAUUGGCUUUUCUGGGUUUUCACUUUGCCACCCAGUAAUCUCAGGGACUUCUAAGCCUCCAUAAGAGGGUGAGUCAAUUUAUUACACUAAAUCUCAUUUUUUCCCUCUCUAUUGUUUUGUUUCUCUGGUGAAGCCUAAUAAGUAUAAGUGCUAUAAACUAAUCAGACCUAGCAGACAUCUAUGGAGCAGUCCAUCUAAUAGCAACAGAAUCUUCUCAAGGCCACAUGGAAAAUUCCUCAUGGUAGACCAUAUCCAGGCCAUAAAAUAAACUCAAUGAAUUUGAAAGAAUCAAUCAUAAAGUAUGGUGUCUGAACACUGCCUUGAGAGGUAAGUUACUUUAUUGACAUAAGACCUUUCUUUUUUUAAUAUACAUAUUUGUAGCAAUAAACUUUCCUUAAUCCCUGCUUUAGCUACAUCCCAUAAUUUUAGUAUAACAUACCUUGAUUUUCAUUCAUUUCAAAAUAUUUUC
rnacentral:lncRNA from 1 species